UGACAAGAUAGUUUAAUUUAGAAUAUCUAUUUUACACGUAGAAGGUGACUGGUUGGUCUAUUGUUAU
rnacentral:tRNA from 1 species